rnacentral:lncRNA from 1 species
GCAUACUUGUGGCUCAAUCAGCAUACAUGUUGUGACCAAUAGACUGAUAGAAAAUCUAUACCAAAACUCUUCACUAGAACUGUAAAAACUCUUAUAUGCAUGCUUUAAUUAAUUUAAUUUUAUUAUUUACUUAUUGUAGAUAUGGUAGCUGGGUCAUCCACCAGACCAGCUGCAGUUAUGGUGGGCCACAUACCAGUCUAAUAUAUUUUUGAACUGUGUAGAUACG